UGGGAGAAGAAGCCCCGGCUAACUUCGUGCCAGCAGCCGCGGUAAUACGAAGGGGGCUAGCGUUGUUCGGAAUCACUGGGCGUAAAGCGCACGUAGGCGGAUCUUUAAGUCAGGGGUGAAAUCCCGAGGCUCAACCUCGGAACUGCCUUUGAUACUGGGGAAUCUCGAGUCCGGGAGAGGUGAGUGGAACUGCGAGUGUAGAGGUGAAAUUCGUAGAUAUUCGC
rnacentral:rRNA from 1 species